AAUGGAGGAAACUCUGAUGCAGCGAUGCCGCGUGAGAGAAGAAGGCCUUUGGGUUGUAAAGCUCUUUCGUCGGGGAAGAAAAUGACUGUACCCGAAUAAGAAGGUCCGGCUAACUUCGUGCCAGCAGCCGCGGUAAUACGAAGGGACCUAGCGUAGUUCGGAAUUACUGGGCUUAAAGAGUUCGUAGGUGGUUGAAAAAGUUGGUGGUGAAAUCCCAGAGCUUAACUCUGGAACUGCCAUCAAAACUUUUCAGCUAGAGUAUGAUAGAGGAAAGCAGAAUUUCUAGUGUAGAGGUGAAAUUCGUAGAUAUUAGAAAGAAUACCAAUUGCGAAGGCAGCUUUCUGGAUCAUUACUGACACUGAGGAACAAAAGCAUGGGUAGCGAAGAGGAUU
rnacentral:rRNA from 1 species